rnacentral:rRNA from 1 species
AUGAGGAAAGACGCCCUUGAACGAUCGGAGAAUAUGAAGCGUGAUGGUUUCACCAUCCGCUGCGACAUCAUGGUAUGUAGCGCGGAGGAUGACGCCGCUGGUGGCACUGCCCCGCAUCGCUACAUAUGCCAGCAUUUUAACACUCUCCUUGAAAGUAAGGUGGGUGCUGAUGUGACGUUCGAGGUCAGCGGCGAGACAUUCGCUGCACACCGGUGCGUGCUUGCUGCCCGGUCGACGGUCUUCAUGGCGCAGCUCUUUGGCCCCAUGAAGGAGGGCACCACGUCCAGUGUCAUACGGAUCGAAGACAUGGAAGCAAAAGUGUUCAGGGCUCUGCUUAGAUUCAUCUACACAGACUCUUUUCCUGAGAUGGAGAAGGAAGGCAUGCUGGAGGAAGCACAAGAUGUGGAACAAGGACAAGAAGAGGAUGAAAUGCGGCUACAAUGGCUGCGAGGCUUAUUUACAGCGGCAGACAGAUAUGACCUCCAACACCUCAAGUUCAUAUGUGAAAAGCGGUUGUCUGAGGACAUAGGUGUGAGCUCAGUGGCGGCCACUCUUGUUCUGGCCGAGCAGCACGACUGCAGCGGGUUGAAGAUGGCGUGCUUCAAUUUUAUUCAAGCUCAAUCUUCCUCCUGUUUGAAAAGGGUAAUGUCAACUAAUGGAUGGGGGCAUUUAAUGAUGACUUACCCCUCUAUUUUGAAUGAGGUCAUUGCCAAGCUUGCUUCGAAAAAAUGA